AAUUAUUUGUUUCUACGACAAAUUGAAAGCAACAUGAUGCAUAUAUUAAAUCUGCUGUUGUUUGGUAUUAUAUCUACCAAAUGUGCUCCAGUCCAUGACUGCAUUGGGGAACAAUGUCGGAACAUUAUAUCGGUUCCACUGAUCGAUGAAAUGAAAGCCACUUUAAAAGCUGAUUUGGAUGUUUCCAAACUGAAUAGUGUUUUGCAUAAUUAUAUUCUGGGAGAAGUGAAAAAAGCUGUUAAAGUAUCUUUCGAUGUUCAAAUGGAGAGGGCAGUCGAGGACAUCAAUUGGAAUGUUUCAAAGAUGAUGCAGUCGGAUAUAAAGACAAAAUUUGAAAUAUUACAAGAAGAAAGCUUUAAGGGCAAUACAUUUGUUAGAUGGGGCCGACAAUCAUGUGAUGGAACGCUGUCGUCAUUAGUGUAUAAAUGAUAUAUGGCUGGUCCUACGCAUAAGGCGCAAGGAAGUGGAUCAAACUAUUUGUGUCUAACCAGUGAUCCCCAAACAGGGUCUGUCCCUGCAGAUUGGCUUUUCAGUCCUGGCCUCUUUAUGGUAUCGGUUGGGAAUUAACAGGUACUGACAGAAGUAAAAGUUUAGACCACAUCGAUGACAAAGAUGUCCCAUGUGCUGUUUGUUUAACAAAAGGCAAAACAACAUUGAUGAUCCCUGGUAGCAUAUCAUGUUCUGCAGAAUGGACAAAGGAAUAUGCAGGGUUUCUGGUGUCGUCGAGGAACGAGAAAGGCGCUGUAACAACAGAGUAUGUGUGUGCAGAUGAAGAUCCGGAAUUUUACGGAUCACAUAAUUAUAAUCACGGACUCAUUCAUUUUGUAGAAGUUAAAUGUGGAAGCAUACCAUGCACUAAGUAUGGAGACAAAACAAAAUUAAGCUGUGUUGUGUGCAGUAAAUAGUCAACUAUCCCGUAUUUGAAUGAUGUCAAUAACAUUUGAUUGCUGUUUAAAGAUGAUUGCCGAACUUGUUUUUCAGCUUUGUCAGAUAAACAUAUUUUUUGGGUUUUAUCCAUGUAGUGUCAUUACAA